rnacentral:rRNA from 1 species
GAUGAACGCUGGCGGCGUGCCUAAUACAUGCAAGUCGAGCGAACAGACGAGGAGCUUGCUCCCCUGAGGUUAGCGGCGGACGGGUGAGUAACAUGUGGAUAACCUACCUAUACGACUGGGAUAACUUCGGGAAACCGGAUCUAAUACCGGAUAAUAUAUCGAACUGCAUGGUUCAAUAGUUAAAUUCGCUUUUUCUGUCACUAAUAGACGAACCCGGCCCGCAUUAGCUAGUUGGUAAGGUAACGGCUUAGCAAGGCAACGAUGCGUAGCCGACCUGAGAGGGUGAUCGGCCACACUGGAACAGAGAAACGGUCCAGACUCCGACAGGAGGCAGCAGUAGGGACUCUUCCGCAAUGGGCGAGAGCCUGACAGAGCAACACCGCGUAAGUGAUGAAGGACUUCGGAUCGUAAAGCUAUGUUGUUAGGAAAGAUCAAAAGUGUAAGUAACUAUGAACGUCUUGACGGUACCUAAUGAGUAAGCCACGGCUAACUACGUG